rnacentral:rRNA from 1 species
GUGGGGAAUAUUGGGCAAUGGGGGAAACCCUGACCCAGCAACGCCGCGUGAAGGAAGACGGUUUUCGGAUUGUAAACUUCUUUUAUCGGGGACGAAAAAAAUGACGGUACCCGAAGAAAAAGCCACGGCUAACUACGUGCCAGCAGCCGCGGUAAUACGUAGGUGGCAAGCGUUGUCCGGAUUUACUGGGUGUAAAGGGCGUGUAGGCGGGACUGCAAGUCAGAUGUGAAAUACCAAGGCUUAACCUUGGGGCUGCAUUUGAAACUGUAGUUCUUGAGUGAUGGAGAGGCAGGCGGAAUUCCUAGUGUAGCGGUGAAAUGCGUAGAUAUUAGGAGGAACACCGAUGGCGAAGGCAAUCCCCUGGGCCUGCACUGACGCUCAUGCACGAAAGCGUGGGGAGCAAACAGGAUUAGAAACCCCUGUAGUCC